rnacentral:lncRNA from 1 species
GAAGGCUUCUAAGAGUUAGCUUAUAAAAGUAUACCACCCAGUAAUAUCAAAAAGUUCUCUGGAGCCAUAAGGGAAUUGUACAAAGCUUCCUAAGUUGCCAACUCUUGACAGAAAUUGAAUAUGGCAAAAGGGAAAAUUGUUGCUCCUGUCUCACAAGCCUAACUGCCAUGUUUCCACACAGCCCAAUGGUGUGGUUGCCAUCCUAGGGCUGUGUGGUUGCCAUGCUAGGGCUGUGUGGUUGCCAUCCUAGGGCUGUGUGGUUGCCAUGCUAGGGCUGUGUGGUUGCCAUCCUAGGGCUGUGUGGUUGCCAUCCUAGGGCUGUGUGGUUGCCAUCCUAGGGCUGUGCAUAGAAAAAUUCACUAAUUCAUCCAUGUAAGGAUAUUGCUUUAUCCUCUGCUCUUUGACUUCCCAAACCUUGGAGACAGAUGCAUCUGACAGCAUUUCCUCCAAAUCUUCACUUGUUGUGGGAUAUUUGUACACUGUGAUUGGUGCAAUAAAAAGCUGAACAGCCAAUAGCUAAGCAGGAGAGAUAGGCAGGACUUCCAAGCAGAGAGAGACUGCUGGGAAAAAGGCAGAGUCACUAACCAGAUACAGAGGAAGCAGGAUGGGCAGUACUGAGUUAAGCAACCAUUUCCAACGAAGCCACCUAGGAAGGAGAGGAACAGUUGGGACAUGUCCCAUCAGUACUUGGGACACUUUCCUGUGGGAGACCCUCCUAUUUAUAAAGCCAGACCAGGAAAAACCUGUCUCAAGCAAUGGUGGGGACAGCUAUUUGCAAGCCAGCUGUCAGCAGCAGCAGGAAACAUAACUCAAUGUGACCAGUUCUGCAGCUUGAGAAUUCCUUCCAGGAUCAUCACUCAGGUGUAGCCAGGAUCUUCACACACACACACACACACACACACACACACACACACAAUUUCAAGCUUCUUCUCUGACCAGAGAAGACCUUUGGAGACUGGAGAUCAGACACUUCGCCCUGGGAGGCUUCAACUGAAGACAGAGAUCCCUCUGCACCCCGUGAACACUCCACUCCACCCUUGAAGUCCUAGGUCAUCCCCAUUGCCCCAUAGCCUAAACGGCCUUUGCUUAGCUCUAUGUUGGAUUCAGCCAUUGUGCCCCUCCUUCUUUGGGACUUGCACUGAAUCUGUGUGGCUCCCAUGUUUAGUGUAUAAUAAGUUUGUAUGUUCUUCUUCCUUAAUUAAUUUAUCUCCGCACAAACUCAAAUUAUCAAAACCUCAAAGGGGGAAAAAUGGAAACAUUCCUACUUUGCACUGAGCCCUCCUAGAUAAUAACCCAAGAAAAUUUUUCUUAUCUUGAAGUCAAUGGGUUAGAAAACUGAAUUCCAUCUUUAAGCCUUAAAAUCUUGUUCUUUCACCUUACAAAUAGUCAGUCUCCCUUAAAGGUGCUGCCCUUGAUGGGGUGACCACACUAGAGUAGAUGGCAUGAGCACAAAUUGAACUCUGUGGGUUAUUAAAAAAAACGUGAAGUUAGGAGAGUGGGACAUGGACAUAGGAGGAGGUGGCGUAGAAGGCAGGGUGUGUCUGAUCACAAAUGCAUUGUAUGAAUGUAUGACUUUUCAAAGAAUUAAUAAAAACAACAUAUUCAACAACAACAAAUUCCUAAUCCCUGUCAUCAGAGAGGCAGAGUUGAAUCCAGAGGUUCACAACCACCCAUGCUCAGCAGCCUAUGAAUCAAAUUGUCUGUGUGGAUUUUACUAUAAAAUAGAUGGUUUUAUUACAUUUCACUGUCUGGUACCUAUUAAAUGUUCUGCAUAAGUGAGUAAGUUCAGUUUUUGUGUUGUCAAUUGCCCAUGCCUAUGUUUUUCAGCUAGCCUAGAAUUUACUAUGCAGACUUGGUUAGCCUCAAACUUGCAGAAAUCUGCCUGUGCUUCCCAAGUACAAAAGGGUGUGUUGGUUUUGCCUUUUAAAGGUUGGUUUUAACAGCCCUGGAAUCACCCAGCAGCCGACAACUACAUAUUAGUCACCAGGAGCUGGAACAAUUCUUCUAUGUAUACUCCAGCUAACAAUAAUUUUGUGGUUUAGAAAAAAAUGUUCCCUGAAGGGAAGGUUUAAAUUAAAAUAAACUGAGGAGAUAUUCUAUUUACCAAACCGCCAGCGGUGCCAGUUUGGGAUGUAAAUAUUCUUUAGAAAGUCUUAUGCUAGGCACUAGGCUCCUAGUAAACUGAUGACAAAUCAGUGGCCAAGACCCUCAUACAUUACAGGACUCAUAUCAGGAAAGUCUCUAUUGCUGCUCCAUGCUUGGCCAACUUGUCAAUGCAUCUUCACGGAACCCUGAGGGCUGACAGUCAGUGAAAAUAUGUGUUGCCAUAUGAUGAAGCAGAAGACAUAAGCAGAAACCAAACUCAUGAUGCUGACGCCCAGUGCCUCCAAGUGCAGGACAUAAGGAGCUGUUUUCUGGUGGAUGGUGAUGUCUGUCUCUGAAUGGCAGGAUGUGGCCUCUGAGAGACGGUUUUUACUUCUGAAAGGAUCAUCCUCCCAAGGCUGCAUCAAGCCUCCAGCUCAAAAAGAAUUGCUGCUAGCCUCACUCAAACUUUCCACUCUAGAAAGCACCAGAAGGAUGUUUCCUAAACCUACCGACUGUAACCUCCUGCUAUAGCAACACAGGGAGCCAAAAAUACACAUCUCAUUUCAAUGCCUCAGAGUUUCCUGAAGUGUGCACCUCGAGGGGAAAUGAACUGCUUCUAGUACAUGACAUGAGUAUCUAACUCAGAACUUCGUUCUGCACAUGUGUGUCUGUAAUACCACCUCUUGACCAAGGAGGCAAGUCCACAUGUGGCUCUAUCAGAGACCCCAAGUAUCGGGGGAAAGAAAGAGAACUAAGACCACAGAGUCAUAGCAGGACAUUGUAAACAAUAACAGAUACAUGCAGAAUUAGAAGAAUGGUCUCUGAACAAAACCGGGGCAGCUCAAAGCUCCCACCACUGGUGUUUUGCUAGCUUCUAAGGGUACCCAGGCACUGUCAUAGCUUCCAUUUCAAAGGCACAUAAUAUUAUCACCAGAAAAAUAUUAAUGCAAACUUCUACUCUAUACAGGGGAAAUACAGGCAGCUUUACCUCAUCUUAAAGCAUAGACACUGGUUUUCUGAUGAACACGAAUGUAACCUAGUGUACAUAAGUUGAUGGUAUCCUUGGUUAGGCCAUUUCCCCUGCCUGGGUCUCUAAGCAGUGAGCCUGAUCUUGAUUACAGAGAACUGCUCUUUCCCUGUAGCCCAUUCUCUUUCCUUCGUGUGCUCAUGUUUGGCUCAUAUUUGUGCCUUAUUUCAGUUCAAAGUCCACUCAGAACUGAAUUUUGAGGAUUUCAAUUUCAAUUAGUUGCAUAUCCCCUCACUCAGCCUUAUAAAAAAGUAUUUGUAAGCCACUGGCAUGGCCAUUUACAUUUCACUAAAAAACUUACACAGGGUUGAGAACUGUGCUUAAAUUUUUUUUUUCAGCUGGGUGUCACAAUAACUGUGCCUGGAACCUGCACAUAGAAAAGGGUAGUGUAGUAUUUUUCAGUUGUAGAAUUGGCAAUUUAAAGUAGCUUGCUUUUUUUAUUUUAAGAUUUAUUUAUUAUGUAUACAGUGUUCUGUCUGCAUGUAUGCCUACAGGCCAGAAGAGGGCACUGAGUCUCAUUACGAAUGGUUGUGAGCCAUCGUAAUGGUGGCUGGGAAUUCAACUCAGGACCUUUGGAAACCAGCUGGUGUUCUUAACCAUUGAGCCAUCUCUCCAGCCCCAAAGGAGCUUGCUUUUAACCCCCAAAAGUUGCUUCCCGCCUUUCCCCACAAUGGCUCCCAAGAUAAAUCCAUUAGACCCUUGGAGUUCCAUGAAGCCUGGGAUCUUAAAUGUAGAGUUAUACAUUUCAGUGAAGCAUAGUACAAGAUGACUCAUUAGAUGGUGCCGGAUAAUAUAAGAACGCAAGAUGGCCACAACAUUUUCAUGGAGAAAUUGCAACUCAGUACAAUUUGCAAGAACUGUAUUGCCUCCUAAAGUCAUGGUUUACAAAUAAUUGCUUUUCUAAUAGCACUUUAUAGCAGAUACUCUCAAUGUUUUACAUAAUACUUUUGUAAUGAUACAAUGGCCCAUUAACUCUGACACUAGUAAAGGAAAUCUCAAA